CACAUUCUCAAAUCUCUCUCAAUUCCCUUUUAAUUUCUCACUCAAAUUUUAUUUCUCUCUCAACUCUAUCUUUUUUUAAUUAUUAAAAUUGUAUUAAGAUUUUCUUAAAAUUUUUCUAUUACAAUUUAUUUCGUUUUUUUCAAAAUUAGCAAUGGCAAAAUCUCUAAUCCGUUUGGAUGACAAGCACAUUUCGAUCAAUCAAUUGCAAAUGCCGAAAGAUUGAAUUUUGGAGACGUAUAUUCGUAAUUUACCUGCUCUUACAUCACCUUUAAUCGAACCCUACUUGAGAGAUCUAAGAUUUUUGCACAUGACCCUUAUGGGUAAGGGUGUAAAUUGAACCCUCCACUUGUAAGCGCGUUGGUGGAAAGAUGGAGACCAGAGACGCACACAUUCCAUCUUCCAUGCGACGAAUGUAAUAUCACUCUCGAAGACGUACAAUUAUAGUUCAGGUUACCAAUGGAUGGGCCGGUAGUGACUGGAUUAGUUGUUGAGCUGAUUGGAGAGAUGUAUGCGAGCAACUUUUGGGGAGGGUUCUGGAAACAAUUUAUGGAGCCCGAAUAGAUAUGAAUUGGUUAAGAAGAAAUUUUGGUGGGAUCGAUACGAAUUCGAGUGAAGCCCAAAAAGAACAACACGCUCGGACGUAUAUCUUUAUGAUCAUCGGGGGUUUCCUAAUGCUCGAUUAGUCACAAAAUCUUGUCUAGUUAAGGUGGCUACUAAAACUCGUCGAUUUUAAAAAAGUGGGUGAACUCAGUUGGGGGUCGUCGUAUUGGUGACGUUGUACCGAAAGAUGUGUCAGGCGACGGAAUCACAAAAAAAAUAAAACCGAUCGUUGCAUGCUACUAUAAGAAUUAUAGAUGUGGUACCGACUGUCAUUUUUACGUCCUCAAGUGGACUACCUUUAUACUUUCCCACUCGUAAUAAAGUAAAAUUCAUUAGACAAUAUAUUUACCAUAAUAAAAUUAUUUAAAAUUUAAAUUAUUGUGUUAACAUAUUAUUUCAAUAGGUGGAACCAUGGGCCGAGUUACAUGGGACUAUCAGAUGAGCUUCGAGAUAUACGACUUCUGUUAGACCAACGAUCGAAAGUGGAGAUAUGUAUUUUUUAAAUUUGAAUUAUAUAAUAUUAAAGUAGUCGAUUUAAAAAUUAAUAAUAUAUAUAACUAAAACUUUUUUAUUUUAAUAUAGUUUGAAUGCUCUAAUCCGACAAUUCAAGAAUGCAUAUCGUUCGAAUUAUUGGUGAAUCCCAAUAUCUGGCACAUGAAGGUGCCAUUGGUAGUGUAUGCUACAGUGGAGAUACAUGAGUCAGAUACAGUGUUGCGGAAGUUCGGCUUUAGGCAAUCGAUUCCGCCGGCACCCCAAGACAUUGAAGAUCUGCAUCAUAUUGACUUGCGGGGGAGAACGGAUGAGCAUUGGCCAACACUCCACGUGGUCCAUGACAAGCUAUAGCUGCUAGCGAAAGAGGCGAGGGAUAAACACCUGCAUAUGAGGAGGCCAUGAUGGGCACUUAAGCAUCCAAGGUCUAGAGCAGCUGCUGAGGUAGGUCUAUUGUCUACACCUACACAAGAACCAACACUGAUGGUCACACCACCCCUCGGUCAUUAUGACUCGACUUAUUCUGACAAUGACGGAUCCGACGACGAUGUAUAGGCCGCCUAUGUUUGGGGCACCGACUAGAAGUCCGAUCGUUCUGCCAUUGGUGUAUGGGACAUAAUAUAAUUAUACCCCUAUGCCAGUGGUGUCACAAACACCUCUGGGAUCAUUGAUCUACCAAGGUAGAACAUCUUUGCAACCACUUGUUCCUAGAAUAGAGUAUACACAAUGCCAAUCGAGGAGUAACCAACCGAUCACAAUCAACUACAUACAAAGGUGAAGAAGAUGAGAGGCCGAUACCACAACUUGUACCCGACGAAAGCAUAACGAUCAAGAUAAGGAGACCAAUAUAUAGCUUGAACCAAGAAGAAAUUUGGCUCACAACCAUUGACCACCUUGAUGUAGUACGCAUUCUGACCGAGGAUAUAAAUGAUUUUUUUUGUACAUAGGGCACACAAUGAAAAAUAUGUUUUAUCAUCACAUUUACUACCAUGAUGUGACACACAUUCUACCCAAAGAUAUGAAUGAUUUAUUUCAUCUGUCCAAA